CGAGCAGGCAGACAGUCAGAGGGGCAGCACUCGGAGAGGAGAGAGGUCAUCUCUCAGGGUCUGGAGUGUAAGCUGGGCCAGGCUUAGAAGCAAGGCCCCUCCGUCCUGAAGGGGAGCCCACCAUGGUGUGCAUAUUCCAUGCUGCCAUCGCUCCGUCUGGGGUUGGACCUGUGAGAACCACGACGAGUGAAUGAACAGACUUAGUGAGAAUCCAGGCUUGUGCCAACGAAUCAGCAUUCACUAAACAACCGCGUAUCCCAGAUGCUUCCCUUUUUUGUCUGUCUGCUUUUUUCACUGUGAAAUAUGCACUUCGUUGUCUCUAAGACUUUUUUUCCGAUACGUCUUUGUGGAGGUAUAACUGACAUUCACUGACCUGCACACAUUCAGAGUGCACAAUUUGACGAGUUUGACCUAUAAACACCCAUGAAACCAUGAGCACCAAAAUGUCCCCGUGCCUCUCCAUCACCGGUCCCUCUCGUUCCUCCCCACCCCUCCAUUUCCAGGCGGCCACUGGACUUCUUUCUGCCACUAUACAUUAGUUUGCAUUUUCCAGAAUUUCAGACAAAUGGAAUCGUGCAGCAUGUGCUCUUCUCUGGCGCCGGCCAGGUGAUGUCUGACUUUUUAAGGAAUCGCCAAGCCGUUUUCCAAAGUGGCGGCACCAUUUUCGUUUCCCGCCUGCGGUGUGGGAGGCUUCCAGGGGCUCCACGUCUCCGUCAGCCCUCGAGGUGCAUCAGUCUUGUCCAUCUCGUCGCCCCCGCAACGGGCAUGAGGUGCACCGGCCGCAUUUCCCCGGUGACCCGGGGGUCGGGGAAGAUGCUCCGCCGUCACUGUCCGGCUUGACCCCGCGGCUGGCCUGGGGACUGGGCGGGCUGACCCCGUCAGGCACGGAGGCAGCUCCGGCUCAGCGCCCGUGGUCGCCAGCGGCUGCGCGGCAGAGCCCCCUUCGUCCCUCCCGCUCAGCUCCUGCCUCCUGCGCCGGCGCGUCCUCCGUGACCCCGUGAACUCUGAGCCGCGGCUGGGCCUCCAGUCAGGGCCGGAGCACGCGAGCUUCUGGAAGGGAUCCGUCUGCGGGGACGAGUCAGCCAGGCCCCCCGCGGCUCCGUCUGCAGGAGCAACACACACGUCAGCACUUAGCACCGAGCCCGGCCGGUUGCCUCCCUCCGCGGAGAAGGGCUUCCUCGCCGCUGCGUUUCCGCACACUCCGCCUCCGGGCUCGCGAGCCAGGCCUCCUGGAGCUCAGGCCGCUGGGACGUCUCCGGAGGCCGCGGGUCCGCAGGCGCGCGCGGCCCAGGUGUCCUCGGGGUGUAGACAGGCCUCCUCAGCCGGCGGGCCACCUCAGACCCGGCUGGUGGCGGAGGAGGAACCGCGGUCAGCUGGGCCAAAGGCCCCUGAAGGUCUGAGGGAGAUGCAGACAGUGGGUCGGGGAGGUGGGAGGAGAAAGCGCACGGCGCCUCUCCCCAGCCAGCGGCCUCCUACCUGCGGAAAGGGCUCAAGACGAAAGGCGAGAGGUGCCCAUUUUAAAUCAAAUUCAGGCCUGGACCUUUGAAAUUCCUGGACUGAGCCCAUUUUAUCAACUAAGAGCCACCAGAAAGGCCACAGGACUGGAGUGUUCAGAGGGGACAGAGGGAGGAGACGCUGCCUGGUGGUUUCGUCCCACGAGUCCAGCUCAUGCGGCGUGUUGGUCUGCUUUGGUCUGAAGGAACGAGGCCAAUCGAAGAGCUCCUGACAGGUGUGCCUUGGUCUCUUACCUGUGCGACUAGCCUGGCUGGCCUCCCAGAACCCACAGCACGGAGGAGGGAGGCUGAGGCGUCCAGGCACUGGAGAUGAUGAGGAGACCGGGGCUCAGCAGGUGGAAAACAUCAAACCCAGGCCAGAGGUCUGGUCCAUUUAGCUCCAAAGCCUGUGCUUUCCACAGUACGAGCUGCCCUUCCACAUCCCAUCGCGGACAGGCGGUACGGUUAACUGGACUAACUACAGCUCCUGUGAAGACAGAUCUUACUGCACUUGGCUCUUCAGGGGGGCAAAACGGUGUGGCCUGUUCCAUAUGUCUGCCCACCAGGAACAGCGAGGCCACAGCUUACAGCCUCCCGCUUUCCUGGACAGUGUGUUUCUUCCCACUGUUCUCGGCGAGGAGUGGCCCCAGCCCUGUUGGCUCCUGUCAUCCCUGGCUGGUCCCCUGUGAUCAAGCCGGGAAAGGCAGGUGGUCGGAACAGCAGCGUGUGUGUGUUGAGCUUGUGACUGUAACUCUGGGUGCGUGUGUCUGUCUGUCUGUGUGUAGUUAAACCUGAUGGGGAGGGGGUGAAAUUAAAAUGUGUAUGUGUAUUUAUGUGGCUAAGUGCCAGCUUGUCUGUGUGUGUGUGUGUGUGUGUGUGUGUGAGAGAGAGAGAGAGCAAGAGAGAGAGAAACCUAAAUUUGUGUGCAUGUUUCUGUCUUUCUGUCCUUCUGUGUGGCAGUACGGCUGAAUUUCAGCUCAGACCCCUGUCGCUGGAGCAGCAGCUCCUUCGAGCCAGCGUGAGAAGGUUGGCAGCCCUACCAGGCUCCUCAUAGGAAUCCUCCAGGAUUAGCUGUCAAUCUCCACUGCUCUCCUCCCAGAUGGGUCCGGACAGGUCUGGAUGAACCAGAUGAUAAAUUCUGAAUCUCCUGUGCGCCAUGUUUCUUCCAUAAGAUUCCCCUCUGUCUGCUGGAAUGAGCAGAGUGAGAUCAGACUGAGGCCUCAUUCAGGGGGCUCCCCUCUAAAACACAGUGCCCCGAGGCCGCCUUAGAGCCCCGUGCUCCUGGGACAUCAGGGUCUUGGGAAGGCAACAACACUCUUCCUGGCAGGGAUGGAGGUCCUCCUUAGCCCCUCCCCACUGUGGCCCCAGCCUGGAAAGACCCCAGUGCUCAAUGGACACGGAUCCCAAGGGGCAGACAUGACAUCCCCCUCUGUCUCUCUCCCAGGUGUCACUAACUAAGGGACCCUGGAGCCAGUGCCUUUCCUGCUCUUGCCCUCAUUUCUAACGACCCUCAAGUUGUACCUGUGACAGGGGCCCAGAGACCCACCUUCUCUGUAGAUUUCAAGCCCAUUCCUUCCCAGGAAGCCCCUCAGGCCUGGGGAAGCAUCUGGGGUGUGGAAGGAGUACUUGCCUUCACCUCCAGACCUGCCUCCGCACUCACUGGCUGGGGGGUCUGUGGCCAGUGGGCUCCCCAAGCCCCUCUCCUCCCCUGAAGCAGAGGUUAGGUUCACUUCCACCUCAGCUGAGACAAACAACUGAGUUCUGUGCAGUGUAAACUCUUGGUGAAAGAAUUUUGCCCAACUUUUUCUCUAUCGUGUAUGUAAAAUACCUUUUGCUUUUUGUUAUCUGUACAAGUUUCUUCUGGUUAAAGGUAAUAUAUCCUUUUUCAGUGUUUACUUUCAACAUUUCUGAACUCUUAUGUUGUAGAUGUAAAUGGGAUAGAGUGGAAUUUUGUCUUUUAUCCAGUCUCACAAUCUUUAACAAGAUUAUUCAGUCCCCUUUAACAUAGUUUCUGAUUUAUUUCUGGUUAAAUGUAACAUUUUUGUCAUAAUGGUAUUGUAGUGCUAUAUUUUUAAGUCCUUAUCUGGUAAAGAUACAUCCUAAAAUAUUUAUGAAUAAAACGAUGUGAUGUCUGGGAUCUGUUUUAAAAUACUCUAAGAAGAAAAAUGAGGGAGAGAAUUGAAACUCGAUUAUUAAGUGUCUAGGAUGAUGGGUACCUGAGGUCCAUUACACUGUUAUGUCUAUUUUUGUACAUUAUUUAAAUUUUUUAUAAUAAAAUAUUUUAUUUAAUCUGC